rnacentral:rRNA from 1 species
AACAACCCAGACCGCCAGCUAAGGUCCCAAAGUCACAGUUAAGUGGGAAACGAUGUGGGAAGGCACAGACAGCCAGGAUGUUGGCUUAGAAGCAGCCAUCAUUUAAAGAAAGCGUAAUAGCUCACUGGUCGAGUCGGCCUGCGCGGAAGAUGUAACGGGGCUAAACUGUGCACCGAAGCUGCGGCAGCGACACUUAGGUGUUGUUGGGUAGGGGAGCGUUCUGUAAGCCUGCGAAGGUGGCCUGUGAGGGUUGCUGGAGGUAUCAGAAGUGCGAAUGCUGACAUAAGUAACGAUAAUGCGGGUGAAAAGCCCGCACGCCGGAAGACCAAGGGUUCCUGUCCAACGUUAAUCGGGGCAGGGUGAGUCGACCCCUAAGGCGAGGCCGAAAGGCGUAGUCGAUGGGAAACAGGUUAAUAUUCCUGUACUUGGUGUUACUGCGAAGGGGGGACGGAGAAGGCUAUGUUAGCCGGGCGACGGUUGUCCCGGUUUAAGCAUGUAGGCGGAGGUUCCAGGUAAAUCCGGUACCUUUUAACGCUGAGGUGUGAUGACGAGGCACUACGGUGCUGAAGUAACAAAUGCCCUGCUUCCAGGAAAAGCCUCUAAGCAUCAGGUAACAUUAAAUCGUACCCCAAACCGACACAGGUGGUCAGGUAGAGAAUACCAAGGCGCUUGAGAGAACUCGGGUGAAGGAACUAGGCAAAAUGGUGCCGUAACUUCGGGAGAAGGCACGCUGAUAUGUAGGUGAAGCCCCUGCGGGUGGAGCUGAAAUCAGUCGAAGAUACCAGCUGGCUGCAACUGUUUAUUAAAAACACAGCACUGUGCAAACACGAAAGUGGACGUAUACGGUGUGACGCCUGCCCGGUGCCGGAAGGUUAAUUGAUGGGGUUAUCCGUAAGGAGAAGCUCUUGAUCGAAGCCCCGGUAAACGGCGGCCGUAACUAUAACGGUCCUAAGGUAGCGAAAUUCCUUGUCGGGUAAGUUCCGACCUGCACGAAUGGCGUAAUGAUGGCCAGGCUGUCUCCACCCGAGACUCAGUGAAAUUGAACUCGCUGUGAAGAUGCAGUGUACCCGCGGCAAGACGGAAAGACCCCGUGAACCUUUACUAUAGCUUGACACUGAACAUUGAGCCUUGAUGUGUAGGAUAGGUGGGAGGCUUUGAAGCGUGGACGCCAGUCUGCGUGGAGCCAACCUUGAAAUACCACCCUUUAAUGUUUGAUGUUCUAACGUUGGCCCCUUAUCGGGGUUGCGGACAGUGUCUGGUGGGUAGUUUGACUGGGGCGGUCUCCUCCCAAAGAGUAACGGAGGAGCACGAAGGUUAGCUAAUCCUGGUCGGACAUCAGGAGGUUAGUGCAAUGGCAUAAGCUAGCUUGACUGCGAGCGUGACGGCGCGAGCAGGUGCGAAAGCAGGUCAUAGUGAUCCGGUGGUUCUGAAUGGAAGGGCCAUCGCUCAACGGAUAAAAGGUACUCCGGGGAUAACAGGCUGAUACCGCCCAAGAGUUCAUAUCGACGGCGGUGUUUGGCACCUCGAUGUCGGCUCAUCACAUCCUGGGGCUGAAGUAGGUCCCAAGGGUAUGGCUGUUCGCCAUUUAAAGUGGUACGCGAGCUGGGUUUAGAACGUCGUGAGACAGUUCGGUCCCUAUCUGCCGUGGGCGCUGGAGAAUUGAGGGGG